rnacentral:rRNA from 1 species
UACGUAGGUCCCGAGCGUUGUCCGGAUUUAUUGGGCGUAAAGCGAGCGCAGGUGGUUUAAUAAGUCUGAUGUAAAAGGCAGUGGCUCAACCAUUGUGUGCAUUGGAAACUGUUAGACUUGAGUGCAGUAGAGGAGAGUGGAAUUCCAUGUGUAGCGGUGAAAUGCGUAGAUAUAUGGAGGAACACCGGUGGCGAAAGCGGCUCUCUGGACUGACACUGACACUGAGGUGCGAAAGCGUGGGUAGCAAACAGG